rnacentral:misc_RNA from 1 species
UCCAACUUAACGUUGGCAGUUGCUCUAGAGUGCCCAACUUAAUGCUGGCAACUAAAGCCAAGGGUUGCGCUCGUUGCGGGACUUAACCCAACAUCUCACGACACGAGCUGACGACAGCCAUGCAGCACCUGUCACUGUGUCCCUUUCGGGCCUUCUAUAUCUCUAUAGCGUUCACAGGAUGCCAAACCCAGGUAAGGUUUUUCGCGUUGCAUCGAAUUAAACCACAUUCUCCACCGCUUGUGCGGGCCCCCGUCAAUUUCUUUGAGUUUUAAUCUUGCGACCGUACUCCCCAGGCGGGAUACUUAUUGCGUUAGCUCCGACACUGAAGGGGUCAAUACCUUCAACAUCAAGUAUCCAUCGUUUACGGCGUGGACUAC